UACGUAGGGGCAAGCGUUGUCCGGAAUUAUUGGGCGUAAAGAGCUUGUAGGCGGUUUGUCGCGUCUGCUGUGAAAAUCCGGGGCUCAACCCCGGACUUGCAGUGGGUACGGGCAGACUAGAGUGUGGUAGGGGAGACUGGAAUUCCUGGUGUAGCGGUGAAAUGCGCAGAUAUCAGGAGGAACACCGAUGGCGAAGGCAGGUCUCUGGGCCACUACUGACGCUGAGAAGCGAAAGCUAGGGUAGCAAACGGGAUUAGAUACCCGCGUAGU
rnacentral:rRNA from 1 species